rnacentral:rRNA from 1 species
CCUACGGGUGGCAGCAGUGAGGAAUAUUGGUCAAUGGACGCGAGUCUGAACCAGCCACGUCGCGUGAAGGAUGACUGCCCUCUGGGUUGUAACCUUCUUUUAUAUGGGAAUAACAUGUUCCACGAGUGGGAUUUUGUAUGUACCAUAUGAAUAAGCAUCGGCUAACUCCGUGCCAGCAGCCGCGGUAAUACGGAGGAUCCGAGCGUUAUCCGGAUUUAUUGGGUUUAAAGGGAGCGUAGGUGGAUUGUUAAGUCAGUUGUGAAAGUUUGCGGCUCAACCGUAAAAUUGCAGUUGAAACUGGCAGUCUGGAGUACAGUAGAGGUGGGCGGAAGUCGUGGUGUAGCGGUGAAAUGCUUAGAUAUCACGAAGAACUCCGAUUGCGAAGGCAGCUCACUGGACUGCAACUGACACUGAGGCUCGAAAGUGUGGGUAUCAAACAGGAUUAGAUACCCCUGUAGU